GUACGAGUUCAAGCCACCAGGUCUGGGACUUGAACCACAGUCAAAUACGUGGGAGUCCAGUGACGUCCAGUCCAUCUGCUGGUCCCUCGACUUGAAAACAAAAGCUACAGAAUUUGUCGACAAUUCUCCGGUCUCCAAAUUCUGGUUUGGGUUUUAAACUGUGACAGCACAUUCAAGUAGGCCACUCCUUCACUGACUGACUUGGUGUUGAGUUGAUGUCUGGACUCUUUCACAUGAAAAGGCAGCUUGGUCUUUAUCCUGAAAACACAGUUGAAGACCUGAGAUGAUUUUCACUAAGAUAUCGUAACACCUGCUGACAUGGAAAAUGCUACACGCUUCUAGGGAGCUGUGGUAGAAAAGAGUUCUGCUAUUCCUUUAAGCACCCACCUACCAUCUUAUUUUGGAAGGAAUCCUAAUACUCUGGGUAGUCAGACUUUUCUCUAAAACUUACAAAUUAU